AUUUGACGUUUCGACAUAUUUUGGUCGGAUAAUAUAUACAAUAUUCCCGGCAUUUGUAAUCUUAGACAUGACUAAUCCCGAAUGUUAUUUGUCGCUAUCUCUUUUUUAAGGCAAUCUUAAGAACUGAUGUGUCAGAAUAAAUAUCAAUUUUAUGUAUAUUAUAAUCAAUGGAUUUUAAAACAAUUUCUUACUGCGUUCAUUUCUGUUUCACAAAGGGCACAUUUACAAGUGAAAAAGAAAAAAUGUUUAGCUAUCAUACGACGUUCUUCCAAACUCAUAAAAGUAUUGAUUUCGGAAUAACAAACGUCGUAGAUUAGAAUGAACGAUAUUUUGGAGGUUGAAAAACAUUUCAACGCGAC